rnacentral:tRNA from 1 species
UCCCCGAUAGCUCAGCGGUAGAGCGGGUGGCUGUUAACCACUAGGCCGCAGGUUCGAAUCCUGCUCGGGGAG